rnacentral:lncRNA from 1 species
UAUAUCUGCAGUUUAAAUUUUCUCCUUUUUCAGUAAUUUUCAAUUUUAGGAGAAGCUCCGUGCACGUUGGUGGCAAGGAGGUGGGAUACAGAGCUGCUUCGUCGGAUGGCAAUAAAACCUUGCGAGGUUAGGUUGAGAAAACUUGUUUCUCUCUUACAGGAUCCAACCUACUGGGUGAAUAUUCACCACCUGGAGUAUACAGAUGGAGGAAUCCUGGACCCUGAUGAUGUGCUGGCAGAUGUCGUGGAAGACAAAGAUAAGGCAUGCCGCUUCUGGUACGAAGGAGCAGUGAUCCAGCUUUGGGCCCACCUGCUGACUUCCACCCAAGUGCCUCUCAUCCCAGUGACCUCAGUCACAAACAUGCUGUGGCAAAAGGUGGAAAUCCAUUGUAUCUGUAUAAGUGUCAGCUGGGAUGCAUUUGUGCAUCAAGCAGAAUAG